UUGACGAUUGAGAUAUAAAUCAGCCUAGGACCGAUAAUCAUUCGAGAACGCACAGAAGCUAGGAUGUUGCUCAAGCCUCUGCCACGAAUUUGAGAAACCUUGGACGCCUACUGCUCACUGCUGAGGUAAAGCUCUCUCUUUUUCACGGCAAGAAAAGAAUAGGGAUCAAUUCCAAUCUUUUGUUUCUGAGACAAUUUGUUCAUCCUUGGCUAGAACCUAGAAAGAACUUGAUUUGGCAACGGAAGUCGAAUUUCAUUAAAACCCCAGCAGUUCUUUGCUUAUUAGAAUAUGUUUCUGCAUUCAAAAUCGAAUCUUUCAGGACUGAAAUCGGUGAUUAUAUCUGGGGUUGUAUUGGGGUUAUGCCUGUAAGGUAGGAGUAUUGUAAUUUAAUUUGCCUGAUCAUAGCCAACAGAAAUAGACAUGGGUUCAGAACAAAACCGCCGCUGGAGUGUUUUUGAUGGGGUUAAGGUUAUUCCGGCAGCGCCUGAGGCUCUCAUGGCAGAAAUUGAUACAGCAAUUUCUAACCUUGAGUAUGCCCGGGCUACGGCCGGCCUUGAGCGGCGGUAUGAUGCCCGAAUGGCAGAUGAUGCUUAUAAGGCGGGAUGUGCUGCCUUGGCUGCAGGCGAGCUCGAUGAGGCUCUUCACUCUUUGAACAUUUCUCUGUCUAAAUGCCCACCUGAUAUGACUAGUGCCGUUGCUAAGAUUCAGUCUCUCAUUUCUCUAACGUCUCAGCAGCUCCAGAAGUCUCCCAAGUGAAUUACUUGAUGUUGGUGUUCAGAUCUUUUUAUUGAGGACAAGUGCAAUUGAUUGGAGGCCACUUCUUGAGUCACAAAUGGGAGAAAGAUAAGAGGGGGCCCUUAACACAAUGCCUGUAGGAUCCAAUUGCUUGUUGACAUGGUUUGUUCACUUGCCAUUCAGUCGCAAGUGGGAAGGUUGGUUUUGCUGCUUUGGUGGACAUCAGAAUGAGACAGUGAGCAGCUUGACAAACUGUUCUAUAUUUGGGCAUAUAUUGUCAGUAAGGUGUGUAAAUUUGGAAUAUGAUUAUUUUUAUGUGAAUCAACUCCCUGGUACUUGGUCAUUUGUACUUGCUUUUAUAAAGGACUUUCUCAGCCACCAGAAAAAACAAAAGGGUGAAAGUCGUUUUGAUUGGUUUA